CAGUCGCCGCGGGAAUACGUAGGUCCCGAGCGUUGUCCGGAUUUAUUGGGCGUAAAGCGAGCGCAGGCGGUUAGAUAAGUCUGAAGUUAAAGGCUGUGGCUUAACCAUAGUACGCUUUGGAAACUGUUUAACUUGAGUGCAAGAGGGGAGAGUGGAAUCCCAUGUGUAGCGGUGAAAUGCGUAGAUAUAUGGAGGAACACCGGUGGCGAAAGCGGCUCUCUGGCUUGUAACUGACGCUGAGGCUCGAAAGCGUGGGGCGCAAACAGGAUUAGAUACCCCGGUAGUCCCUGUCUCUUAUACC
rnacentral:rRNA from 1 species